GAGGAGGAGGAAGAGGAGGAGGAGGAGAUAGAGGAGGAGGAGAACCCUGAAGACUCCACUGUAGAUUAUGGCGUCUUAGAGCCUACAGAUGUGCCUGGUGACUUUGAUGGUUCAGGGGACAGCAGCAGCAGCCCCAAAGAUGCCUCAGAGCCAGACAACAAGCCCUGACGACCAAGACUGAUCUGAUUAAGACGACCAAGACGGGUCUGAUGAAGACGGCAAAGUGGAGUUAAGAUGAAAAAUAAAGAAGAAGCACUUUAACUUAGACAGAACAAUAAAUAAACAGGAAUAUUAAAGAAAAAGAUAUCGAGUUCACAAGUCAAGGUAAAGAAAAAACCAAAUGAACUCAACAUGAAUGAAAAAGCUGAUGAAAUACGUUUAGUUGAUGUAAAGAAUUCAGCUUAAAAAUGUAAACAUCCAGAUGAAGAAUAGUAAAAUUUAAUCAAGAGUCUGACAUAAAAAUGAGGAAUUUAUAAUUCAAAAUGAAGAAUAUUUAAUGAGACUUUUAUCUUUUUACUUUUUGAAAGCAAUGUUGAAAAAAAGGUUCCGUAUUUUUUUGCGAACAUAUUUCUACUAAACUGGGAACGUUUUAUCGCUGUUGUUUCAUGAAAGUUUCCUGAUGGGAUUCUUACAAACAAGCUGAUAGAAACUAAAGUUUGGAACCUGAUGAAUUAAACAAAAAUCUGCUUUUGUAUCUCUGGUGUGCAUCAUAUUGAAACCCUUGAACCUGUGAGGCUGACCUACUUCAUUUAAAUAAAUCCAUUUACUCUCAGACACA